ACGAACGCUGGCGGCUGCUUAACACAUGCAAGUCGAACGGAGUGGCGAACGGGUGAGUAACGCGUGAGCAACCUGCCUCUGACAGUGGGAUAGCCUCGGGAAACCGGGAUUAAUACCGCAUAGUCAUAGAUGGGCUCGCGUCUGAUUAGCUAGUUGGUUAGUUAACAGCCAACCAAGACGACGAUCAGUAGCCGGUCGGAGAGGGUGAACGGCCACAUUGGAACUGAGACACGGUCCAAACUCCUACGGGAGGCAGCAGUGGGGAAUAUUGCACAAUGGGGGAAACCCUGAUGCAGCGACGCCGCGUGAGCGAAGAAGGUAUUCGUAUCGUAAAGUUCUGUCCUAUGGGAAGCAGUACCAUAGAAGAAAGCUCCGGCUAAAUACGUGCCAGCAGCCGCGGUAAUAC
rnacentral:rRNA from 1 species